AUCGUGGAUCAGCAUGCCACGGUGAAUACGUUCCCGGGUCUUGUACACACCGCCCGUCACACCAUGGGAGCUGGUAACACCCGAAGUCAGUAGUCUAACCGCAAGGAGGACGCUGCCGAAGGUGGGAUUAGCGACUGGGGUGAAGUCGUAACAAGGUAAC
rnacentral:rRNA from 1 species